rnacentral:rRNA from 1 species
CUGGGCGUAAAGCGUGCGCAGGCGGAUUGUUAAGCAAGAUGUGAAAUCCCCGGGCUUAACCUGGGAAUGGCAUUUUGAACUGGCAGUCUAGAGUGCGUCAGAGGGGGGUGGAAUUCCACGUGUAGCAGUGAAAUGCGUAGAGAUGUGGAGGAACACCAAUGGCGAAGGCAGCCCCCUGGGAUGACACUGACGCUCAUGUACGAAAGCGUGGGUAGCAAACAGGAUUAGAUACCCUGGUAGUCCACGCCCUAAACGAUGUCAACUGGUUGUUGGGGGAGUGAAAUCCCUUAGUAACGAAGCUAACGCGUGAAGUUGACCGCCUGGGGAGUACGGUCGCAAGAUUAAAACUCAAAGGAAUUGAUGGGGACCCGCACAAGCGGUGGAUGAUGUGGUUUAAUUCGAUGCAACGCGAAAAACCUUACCCACCUUUGACAUGUACGGAAUCCUUUAGAGAUAGAGGAGUGCUCGAAAGAGAGCCGUAACGCAGGUGCUGCAUGGCUGUCGUCAGCUCGUGUCGUGAGAUGUUGGGUUAAGUCCCGCAACGAGCGCAACCCUUGCCAUUAGUUGCUACGAAAGGGCACUCUAAUGGGACUGCCGGUGACAAACCGGAGGAAGGUGGGGAUGACGUCAAGUCCUCAUGGCCCUUAUAGGUGGGGCUACACACGUCAUACAAUGGCUGGUACAGAGGGUUGCCAACCCGCGAGGGGGAGCCAAUCCCAUAAAAGCCAGUCGUAGUCCGGAUCGCAGUCUGCAACUCGACUGCGUGAAGUCGGA